CUUUGCAAAGCCACCAACGCCUCUUCACAAGCCUCCUCCAAUAGAGAAGCCACCCAGUCCAGUUUAUAGUCCACCGGAGAAAGAGAAACCACCACCAACUCCUGUGUACUCACCACCCAAGGGGGAGAAAUCACCACCGAAGUACAAGCCACCAACUCCUGUUUACACUCCCCCCAAGGUGGAGAAACCACCACCACCCAAGGGCGAAAAACCACCAAGUCCUGUGUACACACCACCCAAGGGGGAGAAACCACCACCCAAGCACAAGGCAAGUCCUCCAUACGGUCACCCUCCAUACUACAAGCCUCCACCCCACGGCCACCCCAACAAAGUGACUUGUACUAGGUUACUUGACAUGGGUAAUCAUAGAUAGAAUAAGAGGUACUGCCUUUGGUUUCUUACUAGUUGCUACUUACGAUAGCUAGUGUGGAGAAAUGUUGCAUUUGUAUGGGAUGAUGGAGCUGAGAACUGUCAUCUGCAGGUAAUGUAAACCAAUGGUACACAGUUUUUAUAUGAAAUCUGCAUUCUUAUAUCUUCUGUGUUGUUCUACUUCUUCCGUCAUUCUAUCAAAUUAGUAAGAGUGUCAAUGUAAGACGUACCAUUUCCUUUCUGGUCAAGAAUUA